rfam:Parcubacteria bacterium DG_74_3, whole genome shotgun sequence.
AGAUAUUAUUUUAAGGGCGGAUGGUGGAUGCCUUGGGAGGUUGAGGCGAUGAAGGGCGUGGCGUGACUGCGAUAAGCCUCGGGGAGGUGUCUAGCAACCUUUGAUCCGGGGAUUUCCGAAUGGGGAAACCCGAUUACGUAAAACGUGAUCAGUCGCGUUGAACGCGACGGCAUACCCGCUGAAGUGAAACAUCUUAGUAAGCGGAGGAAAAGAGAACGAAAGUUUAUUCCCUUAGUAGCGGCGAGCGAAAAGGGAGGAGCCCAAAUCCCGCUUUUAGCGGGAGGUUGAAAGGAAAUAUCGUCAGGAGUAUUUGUGGUGCACACAAAUACUUUUGAGGGAGAGCAUUUAGGUAAUGGUUAGUUAGAGGAAGUACCCUGGAAAGGGAUACCAUAGAGGGUAAUAGUCCCGUACUCGAAAACUCCUUUACGCUCCUUGAUAUUUUUCUUAAGUACCAUCGGGAACGAAAGCCUGGUGGGAAGCAAGCCGGACUACCGGCUAAGGCUAAAUACUCAACCUCACCGAUAGUGAACCAGUACCGUGAGGGAAAGGUGAAAAGCAGCCAGGUGAUGGCGGUGAAAUAGAACCUGAAACCAUCUCGCCUACAAGGAGUCGGAGCUGUCCUUCGCUCUUUGCUUCGCAAACAGCUUCGGAACAGUAAACCCUUCGGAAACUAAAAGAGGGGCUUGCCAUUCCGUAGCUCCGCACGAAGUAAGGAGCGGAGGAUGGUGACGGCGUGCCUAUUGAAGAAUGAGCCAACGAGUUUAAGUCUGUCCCUAGUCUAAUCCCGGAAAACGGGAGGAGGCGGAGUGAAAGCAAGCGUUAAAAACGCGUUAGGGGCAGGUUUAAGACCCGAAGCCAAGCGAGCUUGCCAUGACCAGGGUGAAUCCCGCUGAAAAGCGGGAGGAGGCCCGAACCCGUGGGUCGUGCAAUUCCCUGGGAUGAGUUGUGGCAAGAGGUGAAACGCCAAUCGAGCUUGGGAAUAGCUGGUUCUCCCCGAAAUAGCUUUGGGGCUAGCGCCUGCUUAGAUUUUCGCAGGUAGAGCACUGGAAGGAUUAUCGUGGGAUUUUCUCAGGUUUUCCUACCAAACUCCGAAUGGCGAAAAUUUUUUGGCAGGCAGUAAGACUAUGGGGGCUAAGCUCCGUAGUCAAAAGGGAAAGAGCCCAGAUCUUCAUCUAAGGUCCCUAAACCGAGCUAAGUGUUUUUAAAGGAAGUGGGGUUCCGGAGAUAGUUAGGAGGUUAGCUUAGGAGCAGCUACCCUUUAAAAAGUGCGUAACAGCUUACUAACUAAGGAGUCCCGCGCCGAAAAUUAACGGGGCUAAGCUCGGUACCGAAGAUAAGACCCUAUACCGUACGGUAUAGGGGGUAGGGGAGCGUCUCUAUUGCUGAGAAGUUCUGCUGCAAGGCGGAGUGGAGCAAUAGGGAGUGAAAAUGUUGGCACAAGUAACCGCAAUACAGGUGAGAACCCUGUACACCGAAAGCCUGAGGUUUCCUUGGCAAUGACAAUCAACCAAGGGUUAGGCGGUCCUUAGCCGAAUCCGAAAGGAGUAGGUGAUGGACAGCAGGUUAAUAUUCCUGCCCUUCCUUUGGAUAAACGCAGAGGGACGAAAGGUUGUAAUCCGUGCGUAUUAUUGGAUUUACGUCCCUGUUCUGAGGAUUCCCAAUGGAACAGGGGGAAGUCCGCUCAAGGGCGGACGAACAUGGGUGAGCACUUUUCCCAGAAAAGCUCUGUUUAUACUAUCCAAUGGAAUCCGUACCGCAAACUGACACAGGUAGGCUGGUGUAAGAGUACCAAGGUGAACGGGUGAAACCUCGUUAAGGAACUCGGCAAAAAAGCGGUCGUAACUUCGGAAUAAGACCUUCCCGCUUCUAGCGGGACGCAGCGAAAGUUCCCCUGGCGACUGUUUAUCAAAAACACAGGUCCCUGCUUAACUCGUAAGAGGAUGUAUAGGGACUGAGGCCUGACCAGUGCUGGAACGUUAACGGUGGCGGUUUCCCGCUUUUAGCGGGAAGCUGACUGCCCGAAGCGCCAGUAAACGUCCGCGGUAACUAUAACCGUGUUAAAGUAGCGUAAUCCCUUGCCGGGUAAGUUCCGGCCCGCAUGAAAGGCUUCACGACUGGGGGACUGUCUCAACGAGGAGCCCGGUGAAAAUGCAACACCGGUAAAGAUGCCGGUUACCUGCAGCUAGACGGAAAGACCCCGGGAGCUUUACUGUAUUUAGAUAUUGAGCUUUGGUUUUGGAUGCGUAGCGUAGAGGGGAGACUUUGAAGCUUGCCUUUCGGGGUAGGCAGAGUCGCCAAUGAAACACCCUCCUUUCAAAAUCUCGGUUCUAACCCUGAUUUUAUCGGGGAACAGUGUCUAAUGGUCAGUUUAAGUGGGGCACUUGCCUCCCAAAAAGUAACGGAGGCGUUUAAAGGUCGGCUAAGUACGGAUGGAAAUCGUACGUGUCGGACAAAGCCACAAGCCGGCUUUAUUGCAAGGCGGAUAUGCCGCGCAGUUGGGAAACCAGAACUUAGUGAACCGACCGUGGUUGGUAGAACCGCGGAAGAUCAUCAGCCAAAAGCUACCCCGGGGAUAACAGGCUAGUCGGGCCCGCGAGUCCACAUCAACGGCCCGGUUCGGCACCUCGAUGUCGGCUCA